rnacentral:tRNA from 1 species
UCCUUGUUGGCUCAGUGGUAAAGAAUCUGCCUGCAGUGCAGGAGACAUGGGUUCGAUCCCUGGAUGGGGAA